GCCGCAGUGGCUUAGGGGUAGAGCGGCGCCUUGGUAUCUCCCGGAAGGGAGCCAAAGAGGCGCAGGUCGGGGGUUCAAUUCCCCCCUGCGGCU
rnacentral:tRNA from 1 species